CAAGGCCCAACUCUUUCCACACCAAGUCCCCACUGGGAUUCCUGAGCCCAGGACAGAACUUGAGGCAAGGAAAAGAGGGAAAGAGGAAAGCCAUUUCCAUCACUUGUCAACCACGUAUAACUGUAAACUCUAUACCCUGGGCAAAUCACAGUUACUCUCUUGCAGCCUCAUCUAUGACAUGGGAAUAAAACCAUCUGCUUUGUCCUCCUUAUAGGAUUUUUAGGAUCAGAGCAAGAAAUGUUGGUUAUGAUGUUCAAAAAUGGGAAAGUGAUAGUUUAUUCUGCGUGUAUGGUUCUCAAUUGUGCAGGCCUGGCCUGUAAUUUGACCUUUGGGCCCCUCUUUGCCUGACUUCUCUCUUCAAGUAGCCAGUGGUGAGAACUCUCCAACUAAGAUCAGGGCAAAAUGACUAUUCAAUUUUCAUGGCAAAGCACCUUCAUCCAGUUUGUGGAAUACCAGCCCUGCUGAGCCUAGUUUGAGAAUAUUGCAACACAGACUGCCCUGCUGUGAGCAGCCCUGCGAAGACGUCCACUUGGAAGGAACUGAUAUAUCCAGCCAAGAGCUAGUAAGGACCUAAGGUGGAGUCUCACAGGAUGCAGCAACGAGAUGCAAUGUGUGUGCAAUGUGUAGUCCUCGAUUGGAUACUGAUUGGGAUAUAUCAGGUAUACAUCUAAGAGAAAAAUGAGUUCAUAUGUCUGUCUACCACAAGACAUGUUCAAGAAUGUUCAUAGCAGGCCAGAUGCCAUGGCUCACGCCUGUAAUCCCAGCACU